AUCGAUUAUCAUAAGUACAUAAUCGAUUAUCUUAGUCCAGAUUUUAGAGGCGUGUUAAAAAACCAUUUUGACAAAAGUAAAUAUGCAUUAUUUAAAAUCAAUUAGCUAUAAAUCAAAUAUGCAUGAUUUUGUAAAAAAUAAUUUUACGAGAGAAGCCAUGUCAUGAGUCAAGUUGUCGGAUCAAGAUCACAAUUAAGAACGACUCAUGUAAGACUAUAAAACUUGGUCUUGAGGUUGAAUCUCGUUGUAUAUCAAUUGUGCGCUUGUUCAAAAACUUAUGUAAUGAAUAUAAAAUGAUAAGCAAUAAAGGAUGCAAGUUUUAGCAAUUGUAUAAUCAGUUCUUGUAUGUUGUUGUACUUAAAAGACUGAAUUG
rnacentral:lncRNA from 1 species